rnacentral:rRNA from 1 species
CUACGGGACGCUGCAGUGAGGAAUAUUGCACAAUGGGGGGAACCCUGAUGCAGCAACGCCGCGUGGAGGAUGACGCAUUUCGGUGUGUAAACUCCUUUUAUAUGUCACGAAAAUGACGGUAGCAUAUGAAUAAGCACCGGCUAACUCCGUGCCAGCAGCCGCGGUAAUACGGAGGGUGCAAGCGUUACUCGGAAUCACUGGGCGUAAAGGACGCGUAGGCGGGUUGGAAAGUCAGGUGUGAAAUCCUACAGCUUAACUGUAGAACUGCACUUGAAACUUCUAAUCUAGAGUAUGGGAGGGGAAGAUGGUAUUAGUGGUGUAGGGGUAAAAUCCGUAGAUAUCACUAGGAAUACCUAAAGCGAAGGCGAUCUCCUGGAACAUUACUGACGCUAAGGCGUGAAAGCGUGGGGAGCAAACAGGAUUAGAUACCCGUGUAGUC